rnacentral:rRNA from 1 species
UUGACCUCAAAUCGGGUGAGACUACCCGCUGAACUUAACAAAU